UACGUAGGUGGCAAGCGUUGUCCGGAAUUACUGGGCGUACAGCGCGCGCAGGCGGUCCGCUACGUGCCGUGUGACAGACGUCGGCUUAACCGACGGCGGCCAGGGUACACGGGCGGACUGGAGGCAGAGAGAGGGAUGUGGAAUACCCGGUGGAGCGGUGAAAUGCGUAGAGAUCGGGAGGAACAUCAGUGGCGAAGGCGGCCAUCUGGGACAACACUGACGCUGAAGCACGAAAGCGUGGGGAGCAAACAGG
rnacentral:rRNA from 1 species